CUUUCUUUCGCAACCCCGCCGUUCUCGCUGGCUCGGCGCUGCUCCGGAUCUCCUGGCUCCCCCUUCCUCCGUCCCCUCCCGAAUCCUCCCCACCUCGGGACCUCUGCGCCUUCUCAAUCUGUGUCGCCUUCCCAUAGCGCCGCGACCGCGCAGCCGUCUCCCUGUCGUCGGUCCUUUUCUCCCCCUCAUCACCCCGCCCCUGCUCCGCCAUUUGUGCCCGAGCUCUAUGUCCUUCACGCGCCACCGCGGCCGCUGACCCCACCGGCAGGUCGCUCGUCCAGGCGCGCGGGAGCACCGCUUCCGUCAAGCAGGCGGGCCAGCAGAUCCAUGAAUCUCAUUAUCCGGUAGGGCGAGGUUCGUGCCUUUUACAUGAACAGAGAUUGUGGUGCUGUGCUUAUUGAAGUGGGCCCUGAAAAAUUGUAGCUAGCCCAUGCGUUGGUGUGCAUGUUUGAAACCGUUCUGUCAAAAAUUCAUGGAGGAUGCGAGCUAGCUAGGAUCAAGGGGUUUGCUGAAUGGUUACUUUUUGCUAUUUGAAUCUAAUUUUUGUUCGUUUUAGUUUGUAGAAUGUAAUACCAUUAGUCUUAGUAUUUGUCUACUGCUAGCAAAGCUUGCUCAAUGAAAUUGUGGUGAAGCCUUAAAGUUAAACACUGUUUCCCUAUUAUAUGUGCUUCCAAGAAUUAAGUUGCCUAGAAUUUCAGUAAGAGUUAAGCUUUACGCCAUUCGUUUGGGUGACUUCAAUAGGCUUUGAAACUGCUACAUAGAACAGUCUUUGUGGAAGAACCUAUGUGAAAGUCUGUCAAUGUGUAUCCAUAUAUGAUAUGGUAUAUUUGGUGCAUUGAUCUGAUGCAAUUUUUAUAGUCAACUUUAAAUUUAGAGAUCAUUUGUGCAUUAUAAUAUUUUUGUUGAUUAAUGAUCUGGUGUUUCGUACAUAAGGCUGCUUUACUAAGUCAACUUAUUUGAAAUUUUGAGUUUCAGUUGCAAGCGCGGGCAACUGAGGACCUACCCAUGUAUACAUGUUAAGUCAACUUAUUGGAAAUUUUGAGUUUCAGUUGCAAGCGCGGGCAACUGAGGACCUACCCAUGCAUACAUGUUAUUUCAUUUUACUUUGAAGGUAAAAUUUGUGUUGUCUUUUGAUAUCAAUUCAAUCAUGAUCCCUUGGCUAUUGACUUGGAGCCCUUUCUAAAUUAAUAUUUAAAUAAUAAAACACCACAAAAUAGUUCUCCUAAUCCCAUUUUUUAUUUACAAAUAAAAAAGUGUCAUCAUUAUUCCACAUGAGUUUGUAUUUGAGAACAUUACCUUUCGUUAAAGCCACUAAUUUGUCAGCACACAGCAAUAAUGGAUAUUUCCCAAGAACUUUUCGUGAUAUCUUUUGCCAGAAUAAGCUCAUUUUGAGUAAGGAUGUUUUCCUAUGGUCAAGGAUAUACUGUCUCGUUGAAUGCUGAAGGAUCAUCGGUGGCCUUGAUUGUGUAUGUUCCCAGUUCCCACAUCCAGUUCACCAACAAAUAUCGCUGCAUAGAGCUAAUGGUCAGAAGUGAAUGAUUGCAAGAGAGUCAUUUUCUGUUCUUAGUAACUUUUAAUAGUUGAUCUAAUUUUUUAUUAACUACAUCUGGUCCUAAUACAUUAUAAUUUCUUUCUUUUAAAUAGAGUUUUUCUUUUAAGAUUCAGUAUUUUAGCCAAAAAUAAUCUAAAGAUGAAAAGGAACUGAACACAUUGUGUGAUCCGGUUCAUAUAUACACUGUGAUAACUAAUCUUUAAUUUUAGAGGUAAAGAACUAAACAAAAUUAUUUGAAACAAAUAACUUCCUAAUGUAUGAUAGAAAUUUACACAAAGAAACAUUUUCAACGUUUUCUGUUUGUUGUUACAUUUAGUUGACGUAUUAGUGGUUGUAGUUCUGUAAUGGCAACUAGUAAAACCCUGUAAUCAACCCCAGUUAGAAACUUAGAAUCAGCAAAAGAAAAAAAAAUCAGGCACAGAUUAGAAAAUAACACCUCUCAAAUAAAAAACUGGGCUUACAAAUAAUGGCUUUGAUUACACAGAUCAUGAGCUGGGCCUUACAAAUGAGAUGGUUGUGGAUAGAAAAAACCUCUUCAGAUCAACCUUGGGCAGGGCUAAAAUUCCCAGUUCACCCUCAAACCAAAGCCAUGUUCUGCAUUUCAGUUACCACACAAGUUGGCAAUGGAACUAAUUCUCUCUUCUGGUCGGAUAGAUGGUUACAUGGGUGUUCUCUGUCUGUUUUAGCUCCAGCAGUGGUCUCUUGUAUCUCACAGAGGUGUAUGUCUAGCAGGACAGUUGCACAAGCUCUUGAUAACAGAACUUGGGUAAGGGACAUACAAGGAAGCCUCUGUUUGGAAGGGCUGGUCCAAUAUCUUCAAAUCUGGGAUUUAUUAGAGUAUUUCACCUUGGUCCAGGACACUGAUAAACAUAUAUGGAGACAUGAGAGGAAUGGAGUUUUUUCCUCCAAAUCCACUUACAGGGCCUUCUUCAAUGGUGCCAUAACCUUUGAACCUUGGCGCAGGCUCUGGAAAUCUUGGGCUCCUCCUAAGUGCAAAAUGUUUUUAUGGCUGGCUAUUUGGAACAAGUGCUGGACUGCAGACAGGUUAGCAAGGAGAGGACUCCCACACCCUGAUCAGUGUGUUUUGUGUGAUCAAGAGGAAGAGAUGGUGUGGCACAUUCUUACCAACUGUGUUUUUGCUCAUCAAUGGUGGUAUAAUCUGCUAGCUCUUCUUGGCCUAGAGAGUAUAGUACCAAGAAGGAAUGAAAAGAGCUUUGCUGAUUGGUGGAGGAAAUCAUAUAAAAAAGUAGGCAAAGCUCAAAGAAAAGGAUUUAAUAGCACGGUUAUACUAGGAGCUUGGAUGCUAUGGAAUCACCAGAAACAAGGGAGUUUUUGAUGGGGCAGCCCCUUCUUUGCAAGCAGCACAUCAGUUCUUAAAGAAAAGUCGAGGCUUUGGGGCCUUGCCGGUGCUAAAAAAAAUUCAGGAUUUAUUUCAGGGUCAAGGGGAUGGUCAAGGGAGAGUUUCUUGUUUAGGUCUGUGGGGGGUUGCAGCAGCCUUAUUUCCUCCUUUGUGAGGAAAUGAGACUGCUUUGUACGGGGAUCUUUCCCCUUCUUUCUCUCUUAAUAUAAAGAUAUGCAGCUCUCCUGCGUGUUCGAUAAAAAAAAAUAAAUAAAAACUUAGAAGUUAAGAAGAAUAAACUCACAAAGGACUUGUUCUCUGUCUUUGGAGAAGCAUCAGGACUGCAGACCAACCUGAGCAAAAGCUGUGUGAUCCCUAUUCAGUGCGAAGGUGAGAUUAUCAAUAUCGUGAACAAAACUUUACAGUGCACGACCACAUCAUUUCCCUGCACAUACAUGGGGUUACCCAUUUCCAACAAUAAGCUAUGAAGAUGUGAUUUGAUGGCUUGGAUUGAGAAAGUUGCAGAUAGGCUCCCUGGUUGGAAAGCCUCUCUCAUGAACAUGUCAGGGCGUGCGGUGCUGGCGCGUUUUGUACUCACUGCCAUCCCCUUAUAUUUACUGGUCGCCAUCAAAGUCCCUAAGUGGUUCAUCAGAGCAAUAGACAAAAUCAGAAGGGGUUUUUUGUGGAAAGGAAGGAAGGAGGUAAAUGGUGGCUGCUGUCUGGUGGCUUGGGAGAAGGUCAUGAGGCCAAUUGAUCUUGGAGAGCUGGGAAUUCACAACCUGGAAAUCAUGGGUUAGGCGCUUCAGAUGCGAUGGCUUUGGUUUGAAAAGACUAGGCCAGAUAGGCCUUGGGCUGGGCUGGAGCUUCCGGUCCAUUCUAACAACCUUGCCAUGUUCGCCAUCUCAGUAGUAUCUUCUCUAGGGAAUGGAGCAAACACUUUGUUUUGGUCUGGUCGCUGGCUCCAUGGUUGUUCACUAGAAGACUUGGCACCUGAAGUUCACAAGAGCAUCCCUCCGAGAUUGAGAAAAACAAGAACGGUGGCCCAAGCCCUACUUGGUCAUGCUUGGGUAGCAAACAUUAGAGGAGCGCUUGGCCAUGUUGGUCUAACAGAAUAUCUACAGCUUUGGGACGCAUUAGCAUCCAUAGUGCUGAACCAUGCUGAUGAUCUGCACCAUUGGAAGUUUGAAGCCUCUGGAGAGUUCUCCACCAGAUCGGCUUACAGGUCCUUCUUUGUUGGCUCCAUCACCUUUGAACCACGGAAGCAAAUUUGGAAAUCUUGGGCACCUGGUAAUUGCAGAAUGUUCAUUUGGUUGGCUAUCCGAAACCGUUGUUGGACAGCAGACCGAUUGGAAAAAAGAGGGCUCCCUCACCCAGAGCAGUGCCCUCUUUGUGAUCAAGAGGGUGAGACAGUUCAACAUAUUCUUACUUCUUGUGUUUUUGCUCGGCAAUUCUGGUUUGAGAUUCUGCAGCCACUGAAUUUGUCCAGCCUGGUGCCUAGCUGAAGGAUCAGGUCCUUUGCUGAAUGGUGGUGAAAAUCCCUGAGAAAAGUUCAGAAGCAGCAUAAAAAGGGCUUUAACUCCCAGGUCAUGCUUGGAGCUUGGAUUAUCUGUAAACACCGCAAUGCUUGUGUUUUCGAUGGCUCUGAUCCAAACCUUCAGGGAGCUCUUCAGGCUUUCAGGGACGAAUCCCACCUCUGGCAAUUGGCUGGAACCAGAGGGUUAUCAGCCCUGGAUCUAAGAAGAAUUGAGGUUUAGAGGUGGUAGUUUUUUAUUUUUUGGUCAGGCCUUGCUAUCUGUGUUUUUUUUUCAGUUAAGUUCUUUUUUUGAAUCCUGCACACCUCACUAUGGUCCAAGGUGAUGUGGUGCAUUGUAUUUGGACCACUCUUUCCUCUUAAUACAAAGAUACGCAGCUCUCCUGCAUGUUCGAGAAAAAAAAAGAAGACAUAAACUUUGAUGUUCACCUUUGACAUUGGUGGCAGCUCCAUAUACACAAAAUUUCUCUUUGGAUGGGAAAAGGGUGCACAUUUGACAAAGAGCAUGCUCCAUUGAUGCUGGACCUGUACCAAAUUCGGAUGCUAUGAAGCUCUGCGUCCAAAAUUAUUAUUUGCACUGAUCCAUGCUAAGGCGCAUGCUCUGUCAGCUUUCUUGAUUGCCUCCAUAAGCUUGAGCUGCAGGAGGUUGUGCUCCUGGACAAGGUUGACACGAUUGUGUCCACUUUGCCUCAUGGUGAUGACAAGGCUCGUGUGGUUGCCCCGCGACACCUCCAUGAGCUGGGCUCCCUGUGCAUUGAAGAACAGCAGCCUUUGGAGCUUGUCUAAUAUCAAGUCUGAUCUCCGGUCACAUCAGGACGUAGGCUGGGUGGUCCUGAACCAGGUUUGCCGUCAUGACCUGUCUCCUGAUGAAGCCCGUGCCAUCCACGACUAGAACUCUGCACUUCUCCAUCUCUGCAAGAUGUAUUUCUGUGGCUCAGGGUGGAAGUAAAUUCUGCUUCAUUUUUCAGUGGUUGCAGGAGUCCAAUUGCUGUGUUGCUGCAUGAUCACCGAGGCCUCAUGUGGUCAGCACCUUUAUUAUUGGGGCAUAGCAAUGGCAGCACUGUGUUUCCAUGCUAUGACGUAACACGGUCGACUGAAUGACCUUUCCAUUUUCUUUGUCUAAUGGCUGGGUUCAUUUUCAUGUGAGAAUUGCAUUUCUUUGUUAUCUAGGUUGAAGCUAUGUGUGCAAUCAAGUUAUCUGAUCAAACAUGAUGCCAUCAUUCACAUCUUAUUGCAAGUCUAAUAAUAGGUAUUGUACUUAUUUGCUACUUGAUUUACAUCUUUUUGCAAAUCAGUUGUACACCCUUUGCAAACAGUUGACUGAAUCUUAGUGAUUAUGCUACCCGGAGACCAUUAUGCAGUAUUAUCAGUUAGAGGAAACAACAAUUGUACUAUAGCAUAUUGCGAUUGGUCGGCCGUCGUCCUGAGCUAUGAAAUCUGCCCUAAGGCCCUAGUUCGACUGCAUGCCCAUAUUGCAAUUCCAUCAGCAACUUCAUUGUUACAACUUGUAGUGGUAUGUGUCAGGGCAUGAUGCAGGACCAAUAUCCAUAAGCAAGGUACAUAUUUGGACUUCUACGUUCAAAAUGUAGGUUAAGUUUUGGAAUGCAGGACAAGAACUACCCACCAUAUUGAUUGUCACCAAUUUCCUCUGUUUCUAUGACGUUAGUCAAAAAAAAGGAGAGGUGGUGGUGAAUAACCUUGAUGUUCCCGGCCUCCUUGAUCGCCUCGACGAGC